UACGGAGGAUGCGAGCGUUAUCCGGAUUUAUUGGGUUUAAAGGGUGCGUAGGCGGGUUAUCAAGUCAGCGGUAAAAUCGUGGAGCUCAACUCCAUCCAGCCGUUGAAACUGAUGAUCUUGAGUGGGCGAGAAGUAUGCGGAAUGCGUGGUGUAGCGGUGAAAUGCAUAGAUAUCACGCAGAACUCCGAUUGCGAAGGCAGCAUACCGGCGCCCUACUGACGCUGAGGCACGAAAGCGUGGGUAUCGAACAGG
rnacentral:rRNA from 1 species